rnacentral:sRNA from 1 species
GGAACUCCCGUCUGUUGGCCUGCCUCUGGCUAGUCUCAUAGCCCAUAUUCAAUUGACAUAACGCUACGGGAAUUAUUUGCGUAAUCUCUUGUUCUCGGUGAUACAGGAUUCACUGUCCAAGCCGUCUGCCAGACCAACAAAAUACAAUUGAGACUGGGAGACAUACAGUGAAAUGGUUCUAAUUCUAGAUGUCAAGACCAGGCUACCAUUCAUCGAUCUAGCUCAAUAUUCCCAGAACACAGUCAUAGUUCUAUAAUGCCUUACAUCACACGCGCUGUUUCGCGCCGCAACAACACUCAUGAUAUAAAGAACCCUACAAACCCACUCUAUACUUCUUCUGUUGAAGCUUCGAAUAUUACAUCAAAACUUGACAGUGUACGGAAUCCUCUCGGAGAAACAACUGGUAAUUACCACUCUUCUCCGAUCCCGCCAGAGAAAAUACCCAUCUCCUCAAAAGUGACACGACCAACAGACGAGAUUGCCAAUAAUAACCAUACUACAAGACCGAUGGUUGUGAAAAGAUCUCGAAGCAUCAAAGACCUCAUAAACCCGGAAGAACUUGGGAUAAAGGUAUUUAGGACUACAUUGUUGAGUGGAGUCG